ACGAACGCUGGCGGCGUGCUUAACACAUGCAAGUCGAACGGUGAAGCUCCAGCUUGCUGGAGUGGAUCAGUGGCGAACGGGUGAGUAACACGUGAGCAACCUGCCCCUGACUCUGGAAUAAGCGCUGGAAACGGCGUCUAAUACUGGAUAUGAGAAGGGUCCGCAUGGACACUUUCUGGAAAGUUUUUCGGUUGGGGAUGGGCUCGCGGCCUAUCAGCUUGUUGGUGAGGUAAUGGCUCACCAAGGCGACGACGGGUAGCCGGCCUGAGAGGGCGACCGGCCACACUGGGACUGAGACACGGCCCAGACUCCUACGGGAGGCAGCAGUGGGGAAUAUUGCACAAUGGGCGAAAGCCUGAUGCAGCGACGCCGCGUGAGGGAUGACGGCCUUGGGGUUGUAAACCUCUUUCAGCAGGGAAGAAGCGAAAGUGACGGUACCUGCAGAAGAAGCACCGGCUAACUACGUG
rnacentral:rRNA from 1 species